rnacentral:rRNA from 1 species
UACGGAGGGGGUUAGCGUUGUUCGGAAUUACUGGGCGUAAAGCGUACGUAGGCGGAUUGGGAAAGUUGGGGGUGAAAUCCCAGGGCUCAACCCUGGAACUGCCUCCAAAACUAUCAGUCUAGAGUUCGAGAGAGGUGAGUGGAAUUCCAAGUGUAGAGGUGAAAUUCGUAGAUAUUUGGAGGAACACCAGUGGCGAAGGC